AGACUGCGCCGGCUUUCGGGUGACGCACGGACGUUUUGUCCCUGCGUUGAAACGGGAAGCCGGUGAAGCAUCGCGUAUCACUCGAUAUGCCGAGCCAUUCCGGCGCUGCCCCCGCAACGGUAAGCGAGACAAGUCCAGACAAGCAGCCACUGUGCAUGCACGGGAAGGCGUCUGGGCGGCGAAGAGACCCUUCGCGCUCGCGAGUCCGGAGACCGGCCUGGAAGAUGACUGGUUG
rnacentral:ncRNA from 2 species